rnacentral:rRNA from 1 species
UACGUAGGGGGCGAGCGUUUGUCCGGAGUUACUGGGCGUAAAGAGCUCGUAGGUGGUUCGGUAAGUCGGAUGUGAAAUCUCCAGGCUCAACCUGGAGGGGUCAUUCGAUACUGCCGUGACUAGAGGUCGGUAGGGGAGUGUGGAAUUCCUGGUGGAGCGGUGAAAUGCGCAGAUAUCAGGAGGAACACCCGUAGCGAAGGCGGCACUCUGGGCCGAUACUGACACUGAGGAGCGAAAGCGUGGGGAGCGAACAGG